rnacentral:rRNA from 1 species
UACGAAGGGGGCUAGCGUUGCUCGGAAUGACUGGGCGUAAAGGGCGCGUAGGCGGAUGGUACAGUCAGAUGUGAAAUUCCUGGGCUUAACCUGGGGGCUGCAUUUGAUACGUGUUAUCUAGAGUGAGGAAGAGGGUCGUGGAAUUCCCAGUGUAGAGGUGAAAAUUCGUAGAUAUUGGGAAGAACACCGGUGGCGAAGGCGGCGACCUGGUCCUUUUACUGACGCUGAGGCGCGAAAGCGUGGGGAGCAAACAGG